rnacentral:tRNA from 1 species
GUUACCGCAGCACAACCAGGCCAUGCACAAGACCUAAACCCUUGCAAUUGGGGGUUCAAAUCCCCCCGCUAACU